UAGGGGUAGAAACUAAAAUUUUCGAUCAUUCCUUGUUUCACAUUGUAGUAUCAUGUUCCUUUCUAAAAACUUCCUCGCCGGUGUUGGUUCCUCCGCCGCACGGUAGGUGGCAGAGUGAUGCAAAAUAACACCUACGACCACCAAAAUGAUGCUCCUAAAGUCCUCUCUCUUGAUCUCUCCUUAAUUUCCCUCAGAACCUAACACUUUAUACAAACCGAACCAAACCAUUGAAGAACCCUAGCCAAAGAAAGUGAAAUUAAAUCAAAACGGAGCUUCAAUCUGAACUCUGGCCUUAUGGGUUUGGUUCAUAUACAAUAAGUCUACAUUCAGUAACAGAAUUUGAGCAAGAAGAAUAGGAAUUUUGGACCUACUUGCAAGACCAUGGUUUGCCUCAGAAUUUGUUUAAAGGGAAGCUAAUGAAGAUGAAGAAUAAGAGAAAACCAGAGCCAGGAUUGUUAAGAAGCUAAUGAAGUUUGAAUGGUAGCUAUGUGACUUGGUUAAAAGUAACUAAAGGCAGUUGGUUUGCAGUGGAAAAAAUAGUUUGUCUAGAACAAUUAGAGUAUCAUGUUGAUGAAUUGGAUACUAGCUAUGUAGGCUUGUGAUAUUUAGCAUUUUCAUGGAGAGGUAUGCUAGUUAUGUUAAUGAGUUAGAUGAAGUUAUGUUAAAUUGAAUGGCAACUGUUAUGAAAAGUUGAAAUUAGAAUUGAAGUUAAUAUGUUAGUGGUUUUGGAAUAUAUGCAUUGCAUUGCAUUGAUGGAACAUGGACAUGAAGAUGAUGGAUUAAAAUGAAGAAACUAGGUCUAGAGUAAAUGUUAGGGUUAUGGCGUAGUUGGUUGACUUUGGUCAACUAUUUGACCAAAAAGUCAAUAGAUGACCAAAAGUCAACCUAGGUCAAAAUUAUGAUUUUUUUGGUGUAAUUUUGUUAUGAAUCCUUUUGUAAUGAAACUUUGAAAGUUUGCAAUGAAAAUGGGUCCUUGAA